GCAAAUAAAAAAAAAAAACACAAAAAUUCGUGGGAGGGGUCAAACUUCUGGAACUCGAAUGAAAAAUAAACAAUAAAAUUAUAUUAUUUAAAAUUCGAUUAUUAGAUAGAACGAAAAAUUAUAUUAUUAUAAAAAAAAAUAAGAUUAAAAAAUAAUAAUAAUCGAAAUUAGAUAAUUAGAAUCUAUUUAAUAGAAUUCUGAUAAAGAUAAUAUAAUUAUCUAAUAAUUAAUAGAAAUAUAUAUUAUUAAUAGAAAAAUAUCUAUAUAUUAGAAAUAAAUAGUAAUAUAAUAAUUAAUAGAAAUAAAAUAUUGAAAACUAUUCAAUAAUGAAUAUUAAUUAAUAUUAAUUAAUAUUGAAAAUUGCAAUAUGUACUUGGCUUUCAUUUAAAUUGGUUUGGUAGUGGAAUUUGAUGGAAUUACCCUGAAGAGAGUAUCUGGCCUAACUCUGGAUAAAGAUUUUCCAGCCAUUUCAAGGAAAAAAUGCGGAUAUAGUCGAAUGGUAAAAUUUCUCUUUGCCAAGGAGAAGACGCGGGUUCGAUUCCCGCUAUCCGCCAAGGUAAAGUAAUGUAGUUAAUAGGAUAAACGACUUCUUAGUUAAUAGGAUAAACGACUUCUUAGUUAAUAGGAUAAACGACUUCUUAUAGUUGACCGUGAUAGUAUAGCGGUUCUAUCUUUCCACCCCAAGAAAAAAAAAAAAAAAAAAGAGAAAAGUGCUAAUUAAUAGUUAACAGAAUCAAACCUCAUUUUUUUGUCAAAAAAUAAAAAAUGUUGCGGAGACGGGAUUUGAACCCGUGACCUCAAGGUUAUGAGCCUUGCGAGCUACCAAACUGCUCUACCCCGCGAUGAAGAGAAGGACUGGGAAGAACUAAGAAACAAACAAGGAUUGAAUGCGCCCCUUUUCCAUACCCGUACAAAUAGAAUAGCCUAUUUGUACAGAAUGGUAAAGGGGCCGCCUCUAUGAUGAUAGAUCAUAGAAAUCCAAUCGAAAAAAGAAAAAUGAAGGAUAUUUUAAUCCUUACCAACUUGAUCUUGUUGCCCCCGGCAACAAACACGCAUGAACCAUUUCACGAAGUAUGUGUCCGGAUAGUCCAAAGUCUCGAUAGUUAGCUCUCGGCCUUCCGGUCAAAAAACAACGUCGAUGAAGACGGGUAGGUGCACUAUUACGCGGUGAGGAUUGUAACUUUCCAUGAAUUUUCCAUUUAUCGCUCAACGAUGGAGCUUUGUUUAUUUCUUUUUUUGAGGAUCGACGAAUCAAAUGAUAUUUUUGUUCCAAUUUGUGCCUUUUCUUUUCCCUCUGAAUCAAACUUUGCCUUGCCAUAGCGGUUCCGUCCCUAUUAUUAUCAAUGAUACAAGUCGGAUCCUAGAUGUAGAAAUAUAGCUGUAGAAAUAUAAGAAGGCAUACCCCUUCUCUACCGAAAGAAAUGAUAUUAUCGCGCGGAUACAAGACAGAAAGAAUUAACCAAAUUUGCCCGAUGUAGAGGCAAUCAAGAAAGCCGCAUAAGUGAAUAUAUAACCUACAGAGAAGUGGGCUAAUCCAACCAAUCGUGCUUGCACAAUGGAAAGGGCCACUGGUUUAUCUCUCCAUCGAAUCAAAUUAGCUAAGGGUGUGCGUUCGUGAGCCCACGCUAAAGUUUCAAUCAAUUCUUGCCAAUACCCGCGCCAGGAAAUUAAAAACAUAAAUCCAGUAGCCCAAACAAGAUGUCCAAAUAAGAACAUCCACGCCCAGACUGAUAAACUAUUCAUACCAAACGGGUUAUACCCAUUGAUAAGUUGGGAAGAGUUUAACCAUAGAUAAUCUCUUAACCAUCCCAUCAAAUAAGUGGAAGAUUCAUUAAACUGUGAAACGUUACCCUGCCAUAACGUGAUGUGUUUCCAAUGCCAAUAAAAAGUAACCCACCCAAUGGUAUUUAACAUCCAGAAAACUGCCAAAUAAAAUGCGUCCCAAGCCGAAAUAUCACAAGUACCGCCUCGUCCCGGACCGUCGCAAGGAAAACUAUAACCGAAAUCCUUUUUAUCUGGCAUUAACUUAGAACCCCGUGCAUCUAAAGCCCCCUUUACCAAGAUCAAUGUAGUUGUAUGUAAACCUAGAGCAAUAGCAUGAUGAACCAAAAAGUCUCCAGGGCCUAUUGUUAAGAAUAGAGAAUUACUAUUCUCAUUAACAGCACUUAACCAGCCAGGCAACCAUAUGCUUCGACCCGCAUUGAAUGCAGGGCCAUCCGUUGAAGAUAAAAGUACAUCGAAUCCAUAUGAAGUUUUACCAUGAGCAGAUUGUAUCCAUUGGGCAAAUAUCGGUUCGAUCAAGAUUUGUUUCUCCGGAGUACCAAAAGCAAGCAUGACAUCAUUAUGAACAUAAAGUCCCAAAGUAUGGAACCCAGAAACAAGCUGGCCCAACUUAAAUGGGAUAUAAUAGCUUCCUUAUGGUCUAACAUUCUUGCCAAUACAUUAUCCUCAUUCUGUUCCGGAUUGUAAUCUCUAAUAAAAAAGAUAGCUCCGUGAGCAA
rnacentral:lncRNA from 1 species